rnacentral:rRNA from 1 species
UACGUAGGGGGCAAGCGUUGUCCGGAUUUACUGGGCGUAAAGCGCGCGUAGGCGGAAGCUUAAGCGGGGCCUGAAAGCCCCCGGCUCAACCGGGGAGGGUGGCCGCGAACUGGGCUUCUUGAGGGUGACAGAGGCGUGUGGAAUUCCGGGUGUAGCGGUGAAAUGCGUAGAGAUCCGGAGGAACACCCGUGGCGAAGGCGGCACGCUGGGUCACCCCUGACGCUGAGGUGCGAAAGCGUGGGGAGCGAACGGG